rnacentral:rRNA from 1 species
CAGUAGCCGCGGUAAUACGUAGGGUGCAAGCGUUAAUCGGAAUUACUGGGCGUAAAGCGUGCGCAGGCGGUUAUAUAAGUCAGAUGUGAAAUCCCCGGGCUCAACCUGGGAACUGCAUUUGAGACUGUAUGGCUAGAGUGUGUCAGAGGGGGGUAGAAUUCCACGUGUAGCAGUGAAAUGCGUAGAUAUGUGGAGGAAUACCGAUGGCGAAGGCAGCCCCCUGGGAUAACACUGACGCUCAUGCACGAAAGCGUGGGGAGCAAACAGGAUUAGAUACCCCCGUAGUCCCUGUCUCUUAUAC